rnacentral:misc_RNA from 1 species
GAUGAAGAACGUAGCGAAAUGCGAUAAGUAAUGUGAAUUGCAGAAUUCAGUGAAUCAUCGAAUCUUUGAACGCACAUUGCGCCCGCUAGUAUUCUGGCGGGCAUGCCUGUCCGAGCGUCAUUUCAACCAUCAAGCCCCCGGCUUGUGUUGGGGACCUGCGGCUGCCGCAGGCCCUGAAAUCCAGUGGCGGGCUCGCCGUAGCACCGAGCGUAGUAGCACACUUCUCGCUCCGGUAGCAGCGGCGGGCGCUUGCCGUAAAACCCCCCCCUAAAAUCUCAAGGUUGACCUCGGAUCAGGUAGGAAUACCCGCUGAACUUAAGCAUAUCAAUAAGCGGAGGA